rnacentral:rRNA from 1 species
ACAAGCAGCGGAGCAUGUGGUUUAAUUCGAAGCAACGCGAAGAACCUUACCAGGUCUUGACAUCCCUCUGAAUGGCGCUUAGCAGCGCAGGUCCUUCGGGACAGAGGAGACAGGUGGUGCAUGGUUGUCGUCAGCUCGUGUCGUGAGAUGUUGGGUUAAGUCCCGCAACGAGCGCAACCCUUGCCUUUAGUUGCCAGCACAUUUAUGGUGGGCACUCUAGAGGGACUGCCGGUGACAAACCGGAGGAAGUGGGGAUGACGUCAAAUCAUCAUGCCCCUUAUGAUCUGGGCUACACACGUGCUACAAUGGCCGGUACAACGAGAAGCGAAACCGCGAGGUGAAGCAAAUCUUUUAAAGCCGGUCCCAGUUCGGAUUGCAGGCUGAAACUCGCCUGCAUGAAGUUGGAGUUGCUGGUAAUCGCGGAUCAGCAUGCCGUGGUGAAUGCGUUCCCGGGUCUU